rnacentral:rRNA from 1 species
UACGUAGGGUGCGAGCGUUGUCCGGAAUUACUGGGCGUAAAGAGCUCGUAGGUGGUUUGUCGCGUUGUCCGUGAAAACUCACAACUCAAUUGUGGGCGUGCGGGCGAUACGGGCAGACUGGAGUACUGCAGGGGAGACUGGAAUUCCUGGUGUAGCGGUGGAAUGCGCAGAUAUCAGGAGGAACACCGGUGGCGAAGGCGGGACUCUGGGCCGAUACUGACGCUGAGGAGCGAAAGCGUGGGGAGCAAACAGG